AUCCAUAUGAAGAGUCCAAAACAGGACGAAACGCACGUUCUGGAU
rnacentral:hammerhead_ribozyme from 1 species